GACGAACGCUGGCGGCGUGCUUAACACAUGCAAGUCGAACGGUAAGGCCCUUCGGGGUACACGAGUGGCGAACGGGUGAGUAACACGUGGGUGAUCUGCCCUGCACUUCGGGAUAAGCCUGGGAAACUGGGUCUAAUACCGGAUAGGACCACUGCCUGCAUGGGUGGUGGUGGAAAGCUUUUGCGGUGUGGGAUGGGCCCGCGGCCUACCAGCUUGUUGGUGGGGUGAUGGCCUACCAAGGCGACGACGGGUAGCCGGCCUGAGAGGGUGACCGGCCACACUGGGACUGAGAUACGGCCCAGACUCCUACGGGAGGCAGCAGUGGGGAAUAUUGCACAAUGGGCGCAAGCCUGAUGCAGCGACGCCGCGUGAGGGAUGACGGCCUUCGGGUUGUAAACCUCUUUCAGCACCGACGAAGCGCAAGUGACGGUAGGUGCAGAAGAAGGACCGGCCAACUACCUGCCAGCCGCCGCCGUAA
rnacentral:rRNA from 1 species